rnacentral:rRNA from 1 species
UCGGGAAUUUUGGGCAAUGGGGGAAACCCUGACCCAGCAACGCCGCGUGAAGGAUGAAGUAUUUCGGUAUGUAAACUUCGAAAGAAUAGGAAGAAUAAAUGACGGUACUAUUUAUAAGGUCCGGCUAACUACGUGCCAGCAGCCGCGGUAAUACGUAGGGACCAAGCGUUGUUCGGAUUUACUGGGCGUAAAGGGCGCGUAGGCGGCAUGACAAGUCACUUGUGAAAUCUCUGGGCUUAACCCAGAACGGCCAAGUGAAACUGUCAUGCUAGAGUGCAGAAGGGGCAAUCGGAAUUCUUGGUGUAGCGGUGAAAUGCGUAGAUAUCAAGAGGAACACCUGAGGUGAAGACGGGUUGCUGGGCUGACACUGACGCUGAGGCGCGAAAGCCAGGGGAGCAAACGGGAUUAGAUACCCCCGUAGUCCCUGAGCGGGCUGGCAAGGCGCAU